rnacentral:rRNA from 1 species
GUCUACGGCCAUGCCACUCUGAAUAAGUCCAAUCCCAUCUGAUCUCGGAAACUAAGCAGGACUGGGCCUGGUUAGUACUUGGAUAGGAGACCACCUAGGAAGACUAGGUGCUGUAGGCA